rnacentral:lncRNA from 1 species
AUUCAUAUUAAUGUUAAUGAAUCUAGAUAGAUGUGAAACGGAGGGAGUACAUAGCAUCAUCUCGACGGUCUGCGAGCUCGAGCUUGAGAUGUGGUGUUUCCCCAUCUCAUGUGAAUCAUUUGAGCCUUCCGGAUCCCAACUCUUGAACCGUCCAAGGCGUAUCCGUCUCCAUCGUCAGGCGUUGCUGUUGUUUAGACAAGCUGAUCUACCGUCUCUCCUUUCAAGUUACAUAGUUCAAGUCGUCAUUCAUUACUUCGACAAACAGUCUGCUGAGUUCAUCAACUCAGCUGUUGGGGCCAUCACCGUCUCCUACAUCAUGCAGCUACUGACUGGAGGAUAUGCAUAAUGUGCUUUUUAAAGAGGGACAAUGUUCUAGGUGUUUGCAAAGAGCACGUGUGAGGGCACAAAUCCAUACUAAGGCAGAUCGCCAACUUAUACUGUCAGGACAUAUGUGUUUUGGACUACUUGGGAGGGAGUUUUCAGCAGUAAUAUAUGUAACACAAAGUAUAUCCAAUAUACUUUCCAUCAGUGGGGAAGAGUAGUUUAGAUGUUGGGUGAGUGCAUUUCAUUGCUGGAGUGUACCAGUGUAAAAUGUGCUGAAAUUAUUUCGUAACUAAUAAAGCAAAUUUACAACCUUUUGUUUUGUAUACAGGUUGAUGGUAAUUAGUAAGCC